CUGACCGAUAGUGAACCAGUACCGUGAGGGAAAGGCGAAAAGAACCCCGGCGAGGGGAGUGAAAAAGAACCUGAAACCGUGUACGUACAAGCAGUGGGAGCACGCUUAGGCGUGUGACUGCGUACCUUUUGUAUAAUGGGUCAGCGACUUAUAUUCUGUAGCAAGGUUAACCGAAUAGGGGAGCCGAAGGGAAACCGAGUCUUAACUGGGCGUUAAGUUGCAGGGUAUAGACCCGAAACCCGGUGAUCUAGCCAUGGGCAGGUUGAAGGUUGGGUAACACUAACUGGAGGACCGAACCGACUAAUGUUGAAAAAUUAGCGGAUGACUUGUGGCUGGGGGUGAAAGGCCAAUCAAACCGGGAGAUAGCUGGUUCUCCCCGAAAGCUAUUUAGGUAGCGCCUCGUGAAUUCAUCUCCGGGGGUAGAGCACUGUUUCGGCAAGGGGGUCAUCCCGACUUACCAACCCGAUGCAAACUGCGAAUACCGGAGAAUGUUAUCACGGGAGACACACGGCGGGUGCUAACGUCCGUCGUGAAGAGGGAAACAACCCAGACCGCCAGCUAAGGUCCCAAAGUCAUGGUUAAGUGGGAAACGAUGUGGGAAGGCCCAGACAGCCAGGAUGUUGGCUUAGAAGCAGCCAUCAUUUAAAGAAAGCGUAAUAGCUCACUGGUCGAGUCGGCCUGCGCGGAAGAUGUAACGGGGCUAAACCAUGCACCGAAGCUGCGGCAGCGACGCUUAUGCGUUGUUGGGUAGGGGAGCGUUCUGUAAGCCUGCGAAGGUGUGCUGUGAGGCAUGCUGGAGGUAUCAGAAGUGCGAAUGCUGACAU
rnacentral:rRNA from 1 species